rnacentral:rRNA from 1 species
CAGUCGCCGCGGUAAUACGUAGGUGGCAAGCGUUGUCCGGAAUUAUUGGGCGUAAAGCGCGCGCAGGUGGUUUAAUAAGUCUGGUGUGAAAGCCCACGGCUCAACCGUGGAGGGUCAUUGGAAACUGUUAAACUUGAGUGCAGGAGAGAAAAGUGGAAUUCCUAGUGUAGCGGUGAAAUGCGUAGAGAUUAGGAGGAACACCAGUGGCGAAGGCGGCUUUUUGGCCUGUAACUGACACUGAGGCGCGAAAGCGUGGGGAGCAAACAGGAUUAGAUACCCCGGUAGUCCCUGUCUCUUAUAC